rnacentral:lncRNA from 1 species
GAUUAUUUAAGACUAAUUGUACUUGAAUAGGAUAUAUUAACUCAAUAUAGCCAUAUUAAGUUAUUGCACUCGUGUGAUAAUACUACAUACACUUGAAUAGGAUAUAUUAACUCAAUAUUGUUGUUUGGUAUAGAGAAUGAGCCGAUUUGGCCAAGAAAAGUUUAUCAUUUUGCUUCGUCCCCUCAAGUACCCGUCCACCGUAGUUAAUUAAAAAUCGACCCAAGUCUCACAGUGGUUCAAACUUACUAGAGGUGGCAAUUGUGUCCUGUUUAAUUAUGAAUGUACUUGCAACCUACAGAAACCAAGGUAACGUACAAGCAAAUACAAUUUUGUGAAUGUAUUUCUCUUCUUUAACGUAUAUUCAUUAAUGGCUGUGGAAUCCUAUAAAGGUGUUUAUGAUCUGUUGGGACGAACGAAAGAUCAAAUAAGAA